rnacentral:rRNA from 1 species
CACGUAGGGGGCAAGCGUUGUCCGGAUUUAUUGGGCGUAAAGAGCUCGUAGGCGGUUCGGUAAGUCGGGUGUGAAACCUCCAGGCUCAACCUGGAGCCGCCACCCGAUACUGUUGUGACUAGAGUCCAGUAGGGGAGCGUGGAAUUCCUGGUGUAGCGGUGAAAUGCGCAGAUAUCAGGAGGAACACCAGUGGCGAAGGCGGCGCUCUGGGCUGGAACUGACGCUGAGGAGCGAAAGCGUGGGGAGCGAACAGG